rnacentral:rRNA from 1 species
UACGGAGGGAGCUAGCGUUGUUCGGAAUUACUGGGCGUAAAGCGCACGUAGGCGGCUUUGUAAGUUAGAGGUGAAAGCCCGGGGCUCAACCCCGGAAUUGCCUUUAAGACUGCAUCGCUUGAAUCCGGGAGAGGUGAGUGGAAUUCCGAGUGUAGAGGUGAAAUUCGUAGAUAUUCGGAAGGACACCAGUGGCGAAGGCGGCUCACUGGACCGGUAUUGACGCUGAGGUGCGAAAGCGUGGGGAGCAAACAGG